rnacentral:rRNA from 1 species
UACGGGGGGGGCAAGCGGUUGUUCGGAAUUACUGGGCGUAAAGGGCUCGUAGGUGGCCAACUAAGUCAGACGUGAAAUCCCUCGGCUUAACCGGGGAACUGCGUCUGAUACUGGAUGGCUUGAGUGUGGGAGAGGGAUGCGGAAUUCCAGGUGUAGCGGUGAAAUGCGUAGAUAUCUGGAGGAACACCGGUGGCGAAGGCGGCAUCCUGGACCAUUUACUGACACUGAAUAGCGAAAGCCAGGGAGCAAACGGG